rfam:Triticum aestivum genome assembly, contig: Triticum_aestivum_CS42_TGACv1_scaffold_502022_6BL
UAGCUACUCCCUCCGUUCUGAAUUACUUGUCUUGGAUUUGUCUAGAUACAUAUGUAUCUAGACUAAUUUGGUGCUAGAUACAUCCGUAUCUAGAUAAAUCUAAGACAAGUAAUUCGGAAGGAGGGAGUAGAUA